AUUGAACGCUGGCGGCAGGCCUAACACAUGCAAGUCGAACGAGUGGCGGACGGGUGAGUAAUGUCUGGGAAACUGCCCGAUGGAGGGGGAUAACUACUGGAAACAGUAGCUAAUACCGCAUACCAUCGGAUGUGCCCAGAUGGGAUUAGCUAGUAGGUGGGGUAAAGGCUCACCUAGGCGACGAUCCCUAGCUGGUCUGAGAGGAUGACCAGGCACACUGGAACGGCGACACGGUCCAGCCUCCUACGGGAGGCAGACGUGGGGAAUAUUGCACAAGGGGCGCAAGCCUGACGCAGCCAGGCCGCGUGUAUGAAGAAGGCCUUCGGGUUGUAAGGUACUUUCAGCGAGGAGGCGUUACUCGCAGAAGAAGCACCGGCUAACUCCGUGCCAGCAGCCGCGGUAAUAC
rnacentral:rRNA from 1 species